rnacentral:ncRNA from 1 species
UAAAAGACGAUGAUUAGGAAAAGUAUCUUAGAUAUUAUUUUUAGAGAGUAGUUGGUUGGUGUAAAGCUAUAAUAAAUCUUAGAGAAAAUCACCUAGGAGUUGGAGGCUGAAAGGCGUAAUGCCGAAUAAGUUAUCACGUAAGAGCCUGCGUUAAAGGAUAGAGUAUGUAUGUACUUGAAAUAAAACAUUUAAUUUUGCGUUUAGAUGUUUUAGCCUUAGGUGGUUUGCGAAUUCAACUUCGUCCUUUAG